rnacentral:rRNA from 1 species
GAUGAACGCUGGCGGCGUGCCUAAUACAUGCAAGUCGAGCGAACAGAUAAGGAGCUUGCUCCUUUGAAGUUAGCGGCGGACGGGUGAGUAACACGUGGGUAACCUACCUAUAAGACUGGGAUAACUUCGGGAAACCGGAGCUAAUACCGGAUAACAUUUAGAACCGCAUGGUUCUAAAGUGAAAGAUGGUUUUGCUAUCACUUAUAGAUGGACCCGCGCCGUAUUAGCUAGUUGGUAAGGUAACGGCUUACCAAGGCGACGAUACGUAGCCGACCUGAGAGGGUGAUCGGCCACACUGGUACUGAGACACGGUCCAGACUCCUACGGGAGGCAGCAGUAGGGAAUCUUCCGCAAUGGGCGAAAGCCUGACGGAGCAACGCCGCGUGAGUGAUGAAGGGUUUCGGCUCGUAAAACUCUGUUAUUAGGGAAGAACAAAUGUGUAAGUAACUGUGCACAUCUUGACGGUACCUAAUCAGAAAGCCACGGCUAACUACGUG